rnacentral:rRNA from 1 species
GACGAACGCUGGCGGCGUGCUUAACACAUGCAAGUCGAACGGCAAGGCCCUGCUUUUUUGGUGUGCUCGAGUGGCGAACGGGUGAGUAACACGUGAGUAACCUGCCCUUGACUUUGGGAUAACUUCAGGAAACUGGGGCUAAUACCGUAUAGGAGCUCCUGCUGCAUGGUGGGGGUUGGAAAGUUUCGGCGGUUGGGGAUGGACUCGCGGCUUAUCAGCUUGUUGGUGGGGUAGUGGCUUACCAAGGCUUUGACGGGUAGCCGGCAUGAGAGGGUGACCGGCGACAUUGGGACUGAGAUACGGACCAGACUCCUACGGGAGGCAGCAGUGGGGAAUAUUGCACAAUGGGCGGAAGCGUGAUGCAGCAACGCCGCGUGCGGGAUGACGGCCUUCGGGUUGUAAACCGCUGUCGCCUGUGACGAAGCGUGAGUGACGGUAAUGGGUAAAGAAGCACCGGCUAACUACGUG